ACUUGUUUCGGGUUUUUGUGAUUAGUGUGUUGUGUCUUAAGAAGAUUGUGUGGUUCUUGAAAGAUCCUAACAUUCAUUGUGAUUGCUUAUGUGAACUAAAAUUGGGGAAGUGAUGCUUUAAUUUGUAAUUUGUUGGUCUAGUGCUGUUGCUCUAACCGAGCUUUGUUGGGGAAGUGAUGUUUUGUUUGUAUCUUUUUGGUUGAGAUUGUCGUUGCUUUAACCAACCUUUGAUUGUGAAGUGAUUUGGUCGUGCAAAGGAGAGAAAUAUUGAGCCAAACUAGAGAAAAGUGAGGUGAAGUGGUGAUCUGAAAUGGUGAAACAAACUUACUCAUGGGAUGAGCUUGUGGAAAGGCACAAGGGGUGGACGUGAGCUCUUCUAAGGUUUUAGGGGUAAAAAGAAGGCAGGUUUCUAUUCAUUCUGGCUCCAAAUCCAGAGACAAGGUUGUUAUUGUGGAGGAGAUGACUCUACAAAGUGUUUUUGACAUCCUGGACAAAGCUUUGAAAUCCACCUAAUAGAGUGAGAUGAAUUUGAUCCUUGAAUGAGACGUGAAGCUUGAUUGUACUGUAGCAGCUAACCGAGUCGCUUGUGUUUAUUGGAAAUUGUCUUGUUGAUGUUCCGGGUACUUCAAAACUGGCAUUGUUUGCGUUGUCUACACACAAAUGACUACUAACAAAUGCAUCUUUUAAUACACUUAUACCACAAUGAGUACA